rnacentral:lncRNA from 10 species
UUAAUGGACAUAUACUUAAUGUGGAUCCACAGGGAUUUUCUGAAUUUCUCUGGUCAUUAUAUAGCUAGUAUCAAUUCCUCAGGAAGCUUGGCAGUCAUUUUUUCCUCUUCAAAACAGUUUUGUGGUAAGAAUCUCUAGGGAUGUAGAAAGUGUCAGUUGUUUGGUUUCAUAAGAAUACUUCCCUCAGACUGCAGCUGUUAAUACCACUCUUUCUCUCUCAGGUAAUCUAUGAUGUCUGGGACUGGGAGGAAAUAACUUAGAGAAGGUUUGUCAAUAUACUCUAAAAGAAAAUGUCAUAGAUGUUCCCAUUCUUUUCAAGUUCAACUUGUACCCCACUGGAGGUAUCAGUAUUUCAUGUUGAUGAAAACAAAUGGGAGUGAGGAUGUGAUUUGAUCAGAUUUGAUGAGUUUUAUAGGAGGAAAUAGAACUCAGCAGUAGGUGAUAAAAGUGCUAAAUAAAUGAAAAUAAACCUAAGAUGUUCUGAAACCCUUGCAGAGACACUCCAGCAGUUUUCAUGAUGCUAUGGAUGGAAAGGAGAGUUACACAAAUAGAUACAAGGAGAAGACGGAAAUCUGCAACCCGAAGGAUGGCCCUCACCAGAAUCCGACCACGCUGGCACCUUGAACUUUGACUUUCACCCUUCAGAACUGUGAGAAAAUAAUUCCUGUUUUAUAAGCAGUCCAUUCUGUGGUACUUUGUUAUAGUAGUCUACUGAUAAAAACAGCGGUUUUGUAUUAGUUGAAAGACUUUCCUGGUACCAACUAUUUGAUUACCUGUAGAUCU